rnacentral:rRNA from 1 species
UACGGCGAGUGAGCGGCAAAAGCUCAAUUUGAAAUCGCUUCGGCGAGUUGUAAGUAAAGUGGUUAGACGCUUUUUAAUAAGUCCCUUGGAACAGGGCGCCAUAGAGGGUGAUAGCCCCGUAUUAAAUUGUCUAGUGUGCUACUUUAGAGCGAGUCGAGUUGUUUGGGAAUGCAGCUCAAAUAGGUGGUAAACUCCAUCUAAAGCUAAAUAUUGCUGGGAGACCGAUAGCGAACAAGUACAGUGAUGGAAAGAUGAAAAGCACUUUGAAAAGAGAGUGAAAUAGCGUGUGAAAUUGUUGGAGGGGAAGGCGAUGGUAGGAAUAAGAGGCUGCGGUUUGAAAUAAAUGUUUUUCGGGCCACGGUCUCCUGAGCCUGCUUUCGCACCCGUCUUG